GCCCGGUAGUGGGGGAUAACCUGGGGAAACCCAGGCUAAUACCGCAUACGUCCUACGGGAGAAAGCAGGGGAUCUUCGGACCUUGCGCUAUCGGAUGAGCCUAUGUCGGAUUAGCUUGUUGGUGAGGUAAUGGCUCACCAAGGCGACGAUCCGUAGCUGGUCUGAGAGGAUGAUCAGCCACAUCGGGACUGAGACACGGCCCGAACUCCUACGGGAGGCAGCAGUGGGGAAUAUUGGACAAUGGGCGAAAGCCUGAUCCAGCCAUGCCGCGUGUGUGAAGAAGGCUUUCGGGUUGUAAAGCACUUUCAGUGAGGAAGAAGGCCUUGGGGCUAAUACCCCCGAGGAAGGACAUCACCCACAGCGGG
rnacentral:rRNA from 1 species